rnacentral:misc_RNA from 1 species
AUGCUCUAUAGAUGAUGAGAAGGUGUCCAAAUAAUGUAUAUUUAGAAAUCAACUCCGUUUUGGGGUUAAAACGGGGGAUGGUAGGUUGACUUACUCAUCACGAAAUCUCCGAAACUAUAACAGCUACAAAUUUGAAAAUUGGCAAGUAGGUUCCUUAUAAGACAUAUACAUUUGCUAAGAACGAAUUUUAUGAAACUCGACCCCUAAGGUGAUAAAACGGGGAUUGGAAGUUUGUAUGAAAGUCCUAUGUUUUUGAAGUAAGAGACUUGAAAUU